AAAAUUUAGAUAAGAGGUUGUUUGAGAAUAGGGAAGUGAGGAAAUGAGAUCUUCAGGCGUGUAAUCACUUUCCUAUAAGGUUUAAAUCUCCCUUAACUGAAGCAACAAGGU